GUUGGAAUUGGGAAAAAGGGACAAAAAAUUAAUCACUGCAAGAAGUUGUACGGAAAUAGGGGGGCCCUAGAGGGGUUGCUGCAAAGAGAAAAUUUAGUGAGAGAUUCUGCGCAGAAGAGAAAAUAUGCAUAAGGUGGCAGAGAGGGCCAUGAGACGCAAGAGCCACAGAAAAAGACACAACACGUACAGGACAAGAUGCUUAAAUAUCCACAGACAUUUCUCCAUCAUUACCACCCUAUUUCCAACCUCUACAGUAACUCUGAUGUGAUGCAAUCUCCAAAUCCAACACCAUAACUAUAUAUUUAAACAAUUAAAUAUAUGUCACAGAGAGAGAGAGAAAAGAAAGAAAAGAAUUAAAAGUGUAGAAGAAGAAGAAGAAGAAGAAGAAGGUGGUGUGGUGGUGAUAUUAAAAGAGUUUUAUGUUAGUAAGAAAGGAAGCUACAUGGUAUUUAUUUAUGUUGUGCUAGGUAGAUGGUAGUGUUGCUGGUGCUACAGAUGCAUGUGGGUUUUAACUAGUUUUUAGGGCUUUGUGUAGGGAAGAAUAAGAUAAGAGCUGAGUUCAGAGAUUGCAUGGCUUGGAUGCAUGCUGGCGUGACAGUUUGAGCAUUUUUCCAUCUAUAGGUACUUCUCUGUGUGCCUUUAAUUUCAAGCCUGUGAGUUGUUAUGGAUCGAAUAGACAGCUCAUUCUCUAUACACUGCAAACUACAACCCUACGAUGCAUUUUCCACUACCCUUCAAAUUACUUUGACUUCCUCUUCCACACCUUUUGCAUCUCAAUCUCAAUCUCAAUCUAACCAACCCCAUUUCAAAUCCAAUCAAACCUUCCUUCUAGUCAACUCCAUUUUACAUUACACAAUUUUUCUAACGUUAUAAUUAUGUUCAACUACCUAAAUUAAGACAUUAAUCAUUUUCAUAAUGAAUUCUGAAAUGGUGGUAUGGUAUGGAGGCAUAGAGGUAUAGGGACAUCCCCAUUCCUCCAAAUGGCCACCUGGGGUGCCCUGUAGCAACCAGCUGAAGUUUAACCACUGUGAGAAACUUAGCCUCAAUUUCCAAUGCUUUGGCACGUAAUGCACAUAGAUACAUAACAUACAUGGAUACACACACCCUUUCUUUCUUUCUUUCUUUCUUUCUUUCUUCACUUCAGUGUCUUCCAACUCGAAACUUUCGCACUUUCUCAUCAUCUUUUUCCUUUUUCUUUAAGGGAAUAACUGUGGAAAUGUGGUAAAGCAAAAACGAUGGGACCAAAGUCUUUUUUUUUUAUUAUUUAUUUUCUCUCACUGCCUUUACCUUCAUUCAUUUCACACCCUCACUCUUCUGUCUCAACAAUUCCAACAUACCACCUUCUGUCCCCC
rnacentral:lncRNA from 1 species